rnacentral:rRNA from 1 species
CCUACGGGAGGCAGCAGUGAGGACUAUUGGUCAAUGGGCGGAAGCCUGAACCAGCCAAGUCGCGUGAGGGAUGACGGUCCUAUGGAUUGUAAACCUCUUUUGUCGGGGAGCAAGGCCCGCCACGUGUGGGGGGAAGGAGAGUACCCGAAGAAACAGCAUCGGCUAACUCCGUGCCAGCAGCCGCGGUAAUACGGAGGAUGCGAGCGUUAUCCGGAUUGAUUGGGUUAAAAGGGUGCGUAGGCGGAAGGUUAAGUCAGCGGUCAAAGUUCGGUGCUCAAACCCGGCCUGCCGUUGAAACUGGUCGUCUUGAGUGAGCGAGAAGUAUGCGGAAUGCGUGGUGUAGCGGUGAAAUGCAUAGAUAUCACGCAGAACUCCGAUUGCGAAGGCAGCAUACCGGCGCUCAACUGACGCUGAGGCACGAAAGCGUGGGGAUCGAACAGGAUUAGAUACCCCUGUAGUC